rnacentral:rRNA from 1 species
UACGGAGGGGGCUAGCGUUGUUCGGAAUUACUGGGCGUAAAGCGCACGUAGGCGGCCAUUUAAGUCAGGGGUGAAAUCCCGGGGCUCAAACCCGGAACGGCCUUUGAUACUGGGUGUCUGGAGGAUGAGAGAGGCGAGUGGAAUUCCGAGUGUAGAGGUGAAAUUCGUAGAUAUUCGGAGGAACACCAGUGGCGAAGGCGGCUCACUGGCUCGACACUGACGCUGAGGUGCGAAAGCGUGGGGAGCAAACAGG